AUAUCAAUAAGCGGAGGAAAAGAAACCAACAGGGAUUGCCCUAGUAACGGCGAGUGAAGCGGCAUCAGCUCAAAUUUGAAAUCUGGCAUCAGCCCGAGUUGUAAUUUGUAGAGGAUAGUUCGGUGAUGCCUCGACCCAAGUCUCCUGGAACGGAGUGCCUUGGAGGGUGAGAGCCCCGUAUACGGUCGGUCGGCAGAGCCAUGUGAACUUCCUUCGAAGAGUCGAGUUGUUUGGGAAUGCAGCUCAAAAUUGGUGGUAAAUUCCAUCUAAAGCUAAAUAUUGGCCAGAGACCGAUAGCGCACAAGUAGAGUGAUCGAAAGAUGAAAAGCACUUUGGAAAGAGAGUGAAACAGUACGUGAAAUUGUUGAAAGGGAAGCGCUUGCAAUCAGACUUGCACGCAGGAGUUCCGCCGGUCAUCGACCGGUUCAUUCUUCUGCGUUCAGGCCAGCAUCGAUUCGGUCGGUUGGAUAAAGGUUUUGGGAAUGUGACUCCUCUCGGGGAGUGUUAUAGCCCUUUACACAAUACAGCCUGACCGGAUCGAGGACCGCGUUCGCUUGGAUGCUGGCGUAAUGGUUGUUAGCGG
rnacentral:rRNA from 1 species